ACGGAGGGGGCUAGCGUUGUUCGGAAUUACUGGGCGUAAAGCGCACGUAGGCGGCUUUGUAAGUUAGAGGUGAAAGCCCAAGGCUCAACCUUGGAACUGCCUUUGAUACUGUUUGGCUUGAGACCGGUAGAGGUAAGUGGAACUGCGAGUGUAGAGGUGAAAUUCGUAGAUAUUCGCAAGAACACCAGUGGCGAAGGCGGCUUACUGGACCGGUUCUGACGCUGAGGCGCGAAAGCGUGGGGAGCAAACAGGA
rnacentral:rRNA from 1 species